rnacentral:tRNA from 1 species
AGCGGUAUAGCAUAAAGGUAAUGCAAACGGCUGAUAACCGUUAGAAGUUGGAUCGUUCCCAGCUACUGCUACCA